rnacentral:rRNA from 1 species
UACGUAGGGUGCGAGCGUUAAUCGGAAUUACUGGGCGUAAAGCGCGCGCAGGCGGUGAUGUAAGACAGAUGUGAAAUCCCCGGGCUCAACCUGGGAACUGCAUUUGUGACUGCAUCGCUGGAGUGCGGCAGAGGGGGAUGGAAUUCCGCGUGUAGCAGUGAAAUGCGUAGAUAUGCGGAGGAACACCGAUGGCGAAGGCAAUCCCCUGGGCCUGCACUGACGCUCAUGCACGAAAGCGUGGGGAGCAAACAGG